CUUUGACUGACGAUCGUGCGUAUGAGGAGGGAUUCUGUUUAUAUGUAGACAAACGUAUAAUAUAAGCAAGGACGUACACAUACACAUAUAUAUAUACACACAUAGAUACACUCAUCGUAUAAACGUACGUCGGCCAUCGAAGGCGUAAAUUCGCGAGUCGCGUGCCAGAUGCCGCUGCGAUCUCGUGACCAGCCUCACGGAGUUCAACAAAAAUGUAAAGAAAAAAAGAAGAAGAAAAAAAAGAAAACAAAACAAAAUAAAAAUAGAAAAA